UAUAAAUUUUAAAAAAUUAAAUUAAAAAAAGAACACCUAAGGCUCUUGGGGCACCUGGGUGGCUCAGUCGGUUGAACGUCCAACUCUUGAUUUCAGCUCAGGUCAUGAUCUCAUGGUUUGGUUCACGGGGUCGAGCCCCACCUCAGGCUCUAUGCUGGCAGCAUGGAAACUGCUUGGGAUUCUCUCUCUGCCUUUCCCCUGAUUGCUCUCUCUCUUUCAAAAUAAAUAAAUAAACAUUAAAAAAAAUAAUAAUAAGGCUUUUCCAACUUCACACUGGUAUGGGCCAAAAUUGUCUAAAAAGGGAGGACUGAUUCUAGAGAAGCCCCACAUGCCCCUUUCUUUUCUUCCCCUCCAGCAUUUCAUAUGUGAGAAAACAAAUGAUGGCCAGCUUCAUUUGUCCUCAUCCUGGCCAAGGAGCUCCUACAAAAGUUUUGUUAGACUUCAUCAACUCUGGAACAGUCCCACAGGACUCAGCACACCCCAGAAGACCCUUCUUCUGGGCUCCGGAAGAAGAUAAAUGCCCAGCUGCCUUCUGGGCAUUUCUUCUUGGAUGCCUCAGAGGAAACUUUCAUGGGAACCUGUUUAAGAAACUACACCUGAGGAGUCUUAUCUGCACCUGGACUCGAUGUAGAUGAUGAUGAGAUAGAUGCAGCUCGUGCUGGAGUGAGGGGAGACUUUGGGUUUUUGUGGGGAGGGGGGCAGGGGAAGAGUAUAUUUUGCAUGCCAGAGGGGUGUGAACAUUAAGCGCCAGAGGGCAGAGGCGGCCAUCUUCCAAGAUGGCCCCCAUUGUUCACAAGUCCCAACAAUCACAAUUUUGCAAAGUCCCUUGCACACUGCACCAGUAGCACAUGGCAAAAGUGAUGCUACACAACUUCUCAGGUAGCUCAUCAAAGACUGUGGCCAUUAUUUGGGGUAUGUUGUCUCUCUGUUUCUGUCUGACUCCAUCUUUCUCUCAGAUUACUCACUGUGGGGACAAGCUGUUGUGUUGUGAGUAACCCCAUAGGGAAGCCCACCUGGUGAGGAAGAGAGACCCUGAGACAGAAACACCCAACCGAGCUGCCUCCAGAAUCCUGAGCCUCAGAAACCUCGAGCUGUGAUGCCGAAGGGGCUGGUCAAGAAUCCAGGGGCCAACACGGUGGAAGAGAGAUGCAGAUCCCAUCGGUGAUGUGUAUCAUGCGGCAUGUGGAGCUGGGCACGUUGUGUCAGCUGGUCCCAAGCAGGGUACAGCCGUAAUGCCAGCUGAAGAUUAUUUAUCCUGUUGUCGAGGAGUCUUGUCACUGCUGCCCCACCCCAGGCUGGCCGGAGCCGAAGCUGACCCGCCCCAGAGCCCCGGAGCCCUGCCUUCAGCCUCAGCCAGGUGGACCUGGGGACAGUGGCUGGGCUGUUUACUCCCCGUCUCUCUGUGGGGGCCCCCAACCCCACCCCACCACUGACCUUACUGCAUUUCUCACCCUCCUUGUCACUGCCACACCUUUUGUCUCUCUGGGCCAUCUCAGCCCCUGGGCCUCCGGACUGUGAUCAGCCCUCCUGGGGACCAAAGCCCAGGGUCAGAGAGGAGAAGCGCUCAGGCACGUCCCUACAGCAGCCUUUACUCCCAAGUUCUGAGAGCUUUCCCAGGCAUGCCCUGGAAAGGAAACCAGGGCGGGAGGAAUGAGGUUCCCUAGAAAUAUAUUUAGAUUUCCCAGUGGAGGGACGAGUGGGAGGGUGGAAGGCAGGACUGUGAACUACACUGGACAUUCCGCUCCACUCUGUCCCCAAGGCACGGAGGCUCCUGCUGGAAAACAAAAAAUCCUCCCUGGAAAAGAAUGGGAAAAAGAAAAUUCUUUUACCCACCAGUAAAUCUCCCAGGGCUGUCCUGGGCCAUGGAGAUUAAUUAUAUUACUAUUUGUGAUAAUAAUACAUCUUAUAGCAUA